UACGUAGGGUGCAAGCGUUGUCCGGAAUUAUUGGGCGUAAAGAGCUCGUAGGCGGCCUGUCACGUCGGCUGUGAAAACCCGGGGCUCAACCCCGGGCCUGCAGUCGAUACGGGCAGGCUAGAGUCCGGCAGGGGAGACUGGAAUUCCUGGUGUAGCGGUGGAAUGCGCAGAUAUCAGGAGGAACACCGGUGGCGAAGGCGGGAUCCUGGGCCAGUACUGACGCUGAGGAGCGAAAGCGUGGGGAGCGAACAGG
rnacentral:rRNA from 1 species